UUCAACCCUGUGAGGAAAGAGCAGAGAAAGAGAGGGAUCUGGAGGUGGCAAGCCCACACUCUCUACCCCAUUUCAGACUUAAACAGGACCAGUGGACUCAGAAAUAUGAGGUUUUCACUUCUGUGGCUGUUCAGUCUAUUUGCAGUGCUGGAUUACUGCAGUGCAGCUGAUCUGAAGGACUGUGAGGAAGCGGGCAGCAAAUGUAACCCCAACGCUGACUGUA